GUUUGUAUGCUGCACCCACUAGGUAUACGUCGUCUCGUCGAAAAUCUUCUUCAGUAGUGAAAGAGACUUUCUCUGGUGAAGUAUCGAUUAGGUGGCUUGCCAGGAUUCUCAAGUUCAGGCGUGUAAAGAUGGAUUCUAUCGAGGAGAAUAUUGGGUUACUACUUCAAGGCAAAGAUAUAGAAGAAUCCCAGGAAUUUUGCGACUUCACUCUUGAAGAUCAGAACGAAGUGACAGAUUCCUCAGCUAUCAGUCCAGACAUGUGCGCCACAGUUGAUGGGAUAGAUUUUGCCAAAGGAGUAGCGCCUUCAUCCCCAGCCACGUUCACGCCCAUCCUGAAGGAGAACGUCUGUUUUAUAGUAGCGGCCGUUCUUGUCAACGAAGAAGGACACGUCCUCAUGAUGCAGGAGGCUAAAAAGUCCUGUGCAGGCCAAUGGUACCUUCCUGCAGGAAGAAUGGAAGAAGGGGAAACCAUAGUGGAAGCUGCAAAGAGAGAAGUUCUGGAAGAAACAGGAUUAGAGACAGAUAUCACAACGUUGCUAAUGGUAGAAUCAGCCUCAGGUUCAUGGUUCAGAUUUGUUGUUACGGGAAAUGUUACGGGAGGUACACUGAAGACCCCAGCGGAUGCUGAUGAAGAAUCAUUGCAAGCGAUGUGGGUUGGUGACUUCUCAGAGCUCACUUUAAGAGGCAAUGACAUUUUCCCUCUCAUUCAGAAAGCAAAGCAAUUUUGGAUGAAGCGAGAGGAACCAUGGCACCCAACAUUGCUCCCAGUCAAUAAACCUUAUACCAGACUUCUCCUCAGACUGGUGAUUGCAAUUCGUAAAAGAGUGAACAACCGAGUUUGCAUUCUAACAAGUGAUAAAACAGCAACUCAUCUUCCAGUGACAGAAAUUAAUCCAGUGAGAUCAGUUCAUUCAACUUUAAGAAAAUACAUGACAGAAAUAUUUGGAUCAGAUUUGCCACCACACAGACCUCAGGGUGUCCUUAGUGUUGAAAUGAAAACCAGCUCCCCCAGUGGUAAUCAUGAUGGCACCUGCAUAACAAUUCUUGUUCCAAUUCGCAAGGCUCUUGAAGAUGUCCCUCUUAUUGAUAAAUAUUCAUGGAUUGAAUUAAGCAAACCUCUAGGGGAAGACCUCCUCACCCGUAUGGGGAAGAACAUGAUUGUACCCUUGAAUGUCAUACGAGUGGCAACCCUUAUCAAUUGAGCUUCUUAAGGUCGCAUCACUUCCCCUGACAUCACCAGCAGAUGAAAUCCGUUUGCGUUACUGGGAAUCUUCUGCUUAGUAAGUUGGAGAAGUCGAGUACUAAGGAAAUUCCAAGUGAUGGUCAUGGUGAUCAUUAUGAGAGUUAAGGCUUCAUUACAUCUAGGGCAUUUAGUGUUAUUCAACUCUGCUGAAUUCUGUUUGUUAGUAACUGGAUUUGGACAGAAUGUGUGAGGGCUUCUGGAACAACUGCAAGACACUAUGAUGAAACAAAAAUUGCCAAUUUUUUGGUCGGAGUAAUGUCUGUACAAAAUUAUCAGCUGAAAUUAUCAGCUUGUUCCUUCAGUUUUCAUUUUAGCAUUCACUUUGAAACAGAUAAAACUAUACUGAAUGCAUUAUUCUAUUAAAAAACUGUGUGUAUGGGUGCACGUACGUGUGCGUGUACUAUCCAAGGUUUAGUUCAUACACUCCCUGACCCUAUGUGUACUAUCCAAGGCUUAGUUCAUACACUCCCUGACCCAAUGUGUACUAUCCAAGGCUUAGUUCAUACACUCCCUGACCCUAUGUGUACUAUCCAAGGUUUAGUUCAUACACUCCCCUGACCCAAUGUGUACUAUCCAAGGCUUAGUUCAUACACUCCCUGACCCUAUGUGUACUAUCCAAGGCUUAGUUUAUACACUCCCUGACCCAAUGUGUACUAUCCAAGGCUUAGUUCAUACACUCCCUGACCCUAUGUGUACUAUCCAAGGCUUAGUUCAUACACUCCCUGACCCAA